GAUCAUGGCUCAGAUUGAACGCUGGCGGCAGGCUUAACACAUGCAGGUCGAACGGUAACAUAAAGAAGCUUGCUUCUUUGAUGACGAGUGGUGGACGGGUGAGUAAUGCUUGGGAAUCUAGCUUAUGGAGGGGGAUAACUACGGGAAACUGUAGCUAAUACCGCGUAGAAUCGAGAGAUGAAAGUGUGGGACCUUCGGGCCACAUGCCAUAGGAUGAGCCCAAGUGGGAUUAGGUAG
rnacentral:rRNA from 1 species